GGAAAGUGCAGAAGAAGAUGGUUGGCAUCAUCUGGUUGCUAAGGGCUUUAUAGAAUACAUAGACACAGAGGAAGAGGAGACGACCAUGAUUUCCAUGACUAUCAGUGAUCUGGUUCAAGCUAGACUCCGCCCAGACGAGGCGUAUACCGAAAACUACACACAUUGUGAGAUUCACCCAUCUCUGAUAUUGGGUGUCUGUGCUUCAAUUAUACCAUUUCCUGACCAUAAUCAGUCACCUCGUAAUACAUAUCAAUCUGCCAUGGGGAAGCAAGCAAUGGGAAUUUAUGUCACCAACUACCAAUUUCGCAUGGU